rnacentral:lncRNA from 1 species
CAAGUAUUUACAAAGGUAAUUUCCAAGUACACAAUAUGAGGAAGUAACAAGAAGAACAAAAAAUGAGAAAACGAGUUACAGUUUCAAACGUGGAGAAUUCACAUUAAGAGGAAAAUAAUGUAAUAAACGUUUUAGACAUAUCCUUGUAAACAUCACAGAUCAUUUAAAAGUUUAUUUCUGGUCAAUAUUUCCACCGAUAUUUUUAGGAUGGAAAAAUACUUUCAACGGCUACGAACAAGACUCCUCGAACCUUAGGGGAAAAAUUGCAUUUUAAAAGUGAAUAUUGCUUUAGCAAAUUCUUCGGCUAUUUUUCUUUUGUUUAAAUGCCUUUACCUGUGUUCAUUUUGUAUGCCUAAGAAACCUAGAAAAAUAGGGUACUGUUCUAAGUGGGAAUGAUUCUGUGGAAACAGUGAAUUAGCCCAACAAUUGGGGAGGGUUUAAAAAAAGCCCCCAAGAACCUUAUAAAUAAUGGCAAAACCUUUUAAGUCCGACUUAAAAGAGUGAGGAGUAAGAUGGCGCAGUUAUACCUUCACAACCCUCUGACCCCAAAAUUCACGUGUGUUCACCGGGAAGAGCCGGGAGAGCUGGUUAUUUUUGUUUGUUUGUUUGAAAACACAGCUCAGGUUCAGAGGUUCCCUAACACCGAGAAAGGCACCGGUCCCGAAGAGGGCCUGCGGCCAUUGUGUCCCAAGCGCAGGUGUCAAACGCCGGCCGCGGCGCCCGCAGGGUCCGUCCCGCACGCUCCUUCUCAAACAAUGACUUUGCUGCCCACGAGCAGAGAAGCCUGGACUCCAGCGCAGUCCGCAGCGCGUUCGUUAAGGAGCCCAACUUCGGCUUCUUAGAAUGCAGCCCACUUUCUAGACGCCCCCGGCGCACCUGCCUCGAGGCCGCGAGAAAGGCCAGCUCCGGCCGGGAGCCGGGGACCGGGAAGCGCGCAGUCCCGACCUUCCUCCCCUGCCUUUCUCUUCCAGGAGGUUUACUAGAACUCCGGGAACUCCAAAACGCGACUUUUCUUUCUCUUUGCUUUUCGUCUUAAGGGAACACGGUGGGCAAAAGAAGGGAGUGCGUGUGCCCGAGGCUUGGGAGCCCCCUGUGCAGUGACCUAGGAACCGCUAGCGAUUUCUUGAAAAAUUACUUUAAUCAAGUCCGGCGCUCCCGGGAGCGGGGGAGGAAAGGCAGCACCCGCUCGGGACGGGAGAAAAAAGCCUCCAGGUCUGUCCCGCGUCUCCAACUCGGCGAGGGUCUCCGGCUCCCCAGUCCCUCUCCCUGCCCUGCUGGGGCCUGGGGCUUUGGGGAGGGAAGAGCGGGGCUGGGGUCUAAGGACCCUGGGCCGGGCCUGGCUCUCCGCCGGCCGGGCCUGCGGGUGUCGGCGACCCGGGGGCUCCGCGGGCGGCUCGGGCGCUCACAGAGCCCGCGUCCCGCGCCAGAGCGGUGAGGCCGCAGGGCCGCACGGGGCGCCUGGCUGGGUGCGCGCUGGGAGCGGCGAGCAGCCCCGCGCCCGCGUUUUGAUCUCCUUCCCCCCUCUAAGCCGCGUUUACAACUUCACCAAUGAAUAACCCGCCUCUCUUUUCAACCUAAUCACGGCUCUUUGUGUAUCUUUCUGUUGAUGAUUUAUAGAAAUAAAUUAAUAACACCCCAACUCCACGUGCUGCAGUUUAUGUUACGUCUCAGCUGCGGCCAGCCCGGCGCGGGGCUGGGUGCGGAGGGGCGCCCCAGGUCCUUCCAGCGCCGCGCUAGAAAGCGGGCGCCUGCGGCCGAGUGGGAGGGCCUAGGCCCUGUGGCCCCCGGUGGCCGGCGGUGGGAGCCUGGUUCAUCCGCCAGGUCCUGAGCGACCUCCCCGGCAGCCCUGGCGCCCCAGCCGCUCCUAGGGGCCACUCUCUCGACCCCUCUUAGCCUCCGCGACUCACACCUUCCGCCUCGCGGAACUCUCUUGCAGGAGUUCUCUCCCGGUAGGGGAGAAAUCACCUCCGGGCGGGAGAGCGACGAGGGAAGAACCUCAAACCUAUGAAUUAUACCAAAGUGUGUUUGGGGAAAAAAAAUCUACAAGUUCCCCUGAUUGUUUUGGCUAGAGGGCAAACCGCCAGGCCCUCGGAGCACAAAUUCAAAUGCAAGGUCAUAUCCCACCCCAAACCGCCGCUGCGGACGUGCGGCCAAGGCUCAGCCCCGAAAUCGCAGCGCUUCAGUGUCCGAAGCCACGCGAUGGGCUCUGUCCUAAAGCGGAGUGGCCCGGGAGCGACGUGCUGUCUCAGGGAACCGCUCGGCUCCUUAGAUAAUUAGUAACCAGCUGUCAAAGUCUAGGGCGGUCGGGGAGGACCCACAAACGAUCCCGGCCCUGGGGAUACACUGCCAGCCGGCCUGAACUCCCGGGGAGAGGCCGGGGGUGGGCAGCGAGGUCUGGAAACGCCCUCCUUUCUCAGACUGAGACCAGAUCCUCUGCGAACUGAGGUCUGAGACGCGUUCGCCCCCACACCACCGCGCUUGGUUUCUUUGGCCCCGCGCGUGUCCACCCGGACCCUGCAUGGAACAUGCCCUUUGCAAAUCUAAACCCGCGUUGGGGAUCCCGGAUAAUUCCGGGCCUUGCAUGGGCGCGGCUAACAAGAGUGCCCACCAGGGAACUCGCCUCCCAGAUCCCGGCUCCGGAUGCCGCCUGUCCUUCGGCAAAGAACUGCAGGUCAUCAUGCAGGUCAAUGUGUCCGAGGCCGACAUGCGGCUUUCCAGACCCGAGGCAGGGCGCAGGAAAAAUGCGCGGCCUGGGGCUUGCAGCGGCGCGAGGCUCUGCUCCCGGGAAGUCGCAGCGGUUUCACUGCACCCACUCGCACCUUCAGUCGCGUGGGCAAACCUCCCGGCAAAGGGCUCCACAGCUCCAGUUCUCCCCGGCCCAGCCCCAGCCCCGCGGGGAAAAGCCCUUGGGUCUCGGACGCUGGCCUGGGCCUGGGGAGAAGAAGCCCGGUGGGCCGCAGGGUCGUCCCGCUAAGGGAUUGGGAAGGGUCCGGGUGUUGGGAGAGAAGCAGAGCGCCCCCCGGGGGACUUCUCUGGUGGGAAACGGGCUUGGCGAGUGUGGUCGGGCGCAGUGUCACUCAGGCCCGGGGCCGGGGCUCCAGGGGUUCGGGUGGGUCCCCUCCACCUCGCUCUGCGCCUACCUGAGCAUCCGGUCCACCUCCGCCCGCUGCUCCGCCGCCUCCUCGGUGUUGAGCGCCUGCAGCUCCUUGAGGAUGGGAGGUGUGUCAUAGUCGUCGCCGUCCUCGGAGCCCUCGUCGCCGGACAAGCGGCCCUUGGCGUGGCCGUUGGUGAGAGUAUGGAAGACCGGCUUGGUGUCGGGCUCGGCCCCGCUGCCAGGGGACAGGGGCAGCGUCUCCAGCUUCACCCCGAAGUUCGGGGAUGGCAGCAACUCCUCCAAGGCCUGAACCAGCACCUCCUUGGUGACCCCGGAGCUCAGCAGGGCGCUCAGGAGUUCUUGCUGGAGCGACGUGAGCUUGGACACCAUUUUCCAAGGACGGAAAAAGAAGGGGGUGAGGGGGUGGGUGGGUGCGAGAGAGGAGGGUGGAGGGGAGUUUCACAAGCAAACCCCAAAUCCAGGAACCCCUCCACCCUUCAGCCUCCAGACACCUGUUACUCCCCGGGGUCCCGGAGGCUCCUCCGAAAGGAGUCAGAAAACUUCUAACUUGCCAUGAUCGCCACCAUUAGGCCAUAUAAGAUAUGCAAAUUAGUGGGAAGGGCCCAGCUUUCGGCUGGAUGCAAAUGAUGGUGGGGAGGGGGAAACCCGGAGAGAGGGAGAGCCGGAGGGGCAGACCUGGAGAGCAGAAGACCUGGGCCGGGAGCGGGGCUUUGCCAGGGUCCAUUGUACUCACGCUGGGGGGCUAGAGACCUUCUUUUACUGGUUCUGCUUAUCAGCCAAACUUCACCUAACCUUUGGACUUGUUAAGCCAGUGCCUUGCAGCCUAGGCGCGGGGCUUUUCCACCGGUUCUCAGUUCCGCUUUAGUCCAGAGAGAAGACACUACGCUUCGGGGUUCAGUUUGUUGUAAUAGGUGCAAAUCUUUGCUUCUCAUAAUUCUGCCCAAUGGAAGAACAUUCUCUGCCUACCCAGCUUGCCUCAAGAAGGAUAAUGAAGUGUUCAGAGUAAAUGUCCCUGAAGAACAAUCUCUUCGUCUGUCUCUCACUCGCUAUCAGGAUAGAAGCAUCAAGUGUAAUGAAGAUCAGUUUCUGUGUUAAGCUGGGAAAACCCAUUUAAAAAACAGCAAUCACUUCUGUUGUAACAACAAAACUUUGAUUGGCAGUUGCAGCUGCUGUGUGCCCCAUCUGAUUCCCAAGCCUCAUUCUCUCUCAAAAUUCAGGUGUCAGCAAACCCAUUCUUCCCCACACCCCAGCUAACUAUGUGAAUGUGCAGGCAAUUUCACACAGAGGAUAGGACAAACUUCCUAUGAGUGUCCAGGUAUGUUUUCCAGGUAAUCUGGCUAUUCAUAUCUAGCAACUUCCUGUAAUGCUCCUUCCUAGUCCUACCUUGUAAUAUGCCACUUUGUGCAAUAUAAGCG